GAUGAACGCUGGCGGCGUGCCUAAUACAUGCAAGUCGAGCGAACAGACGAGGAGCUUGCUCCUCUGACGUUAGCGGCGGACGGGUGAGUAACACGUGGAUAACCUACCUAUAAGACUGGGAUAACUUCGGGAAACCGGAGCUAAUACCGGAUGAUAUAUUGAACCGCAUGGUUCAAUAGUGAAAGACGGUCUUGCUGUCACUUAUAGAUGGAUCCGCGCUGCAUUAGCUAGUUGGUAAGGUAACGGCUUACCAAGGCAACGAUGCAUAGCCGACCUGAGAGGGUGAUCGGCCACACUGGAACUGAGACACGGUCCAGACUCCUACGGGAGGCAGCAGUAGGGAAUCUUCCGCAAUGGGCGAAAGCCUGACGGAGCAACGCCGCGUGAGUGAUGAAGGUCUUCGGAUCGUAAAACUCUGUUAUUAGGGAAGAACAUAUGUGUAAGUAACUGUGCACAUCUUGACGGUACCUAAUCAGAAAGCCACGGCUAACUACGUG
rnacentral:rRNA from 1 species